AUGAUACUUCCUCCGUCCAAAAAUACUUGUCAUCAAAAUGAAUAAAUGAGAUGUAUCUAGAUGUAUUUUAGUUCUAGAUACAUCUUCUUUUAUCCAUUUCGAUGACAAGCAUUUCCGGACUGAGGGAGUACUAG
rnacentral:pre_miRNA from 1 species